rnacentral:rRNA from 1 species
AUUGAACGCUGGCGGCAGGCCUAACACAUGCAAGUCGAGCGGAUGAAGGGAGCUUGCUCCUGGAUUCAGCGGCGGACGGGUGAGUAAUGCCUAGGAAUCUGCCUGGUAGUGGGGGCUAACGUCCGGAAACGGGCGCUAAUACCGCAUACGUCCUGAGGGAGAAAGUGGGGGAUCUUCGGACCUCACGCUAUCAGAUGAGCCUAGGUCGGAUUAGCUAGUUGGUGGGGUAAAGGCCUACCAAGGCGACGAUCCGUAACUGGUCUGAGAGGAUGAUCAGUCACACUGGAACUGAGACACGGUCCAGACUCCUACGGGAGGCAGCAGUGGGGAAUAUUGGACAAAGGGCGAAAGCCUGAUCCAGCCAUGCCGCGUGUGUGAAGAAGGUCUUCGGAUUGUAAAGCACUUUAAGUUGGGAGGAAGGGCAGUAAGUUAAUACCUUGCUGUUUUGACGUUACCAACAGAAUAAGCACCGGCUAACUUCGUG